AGAAGAUCAUUAAAUUAUUGGGACAAACUUUUAGAGAGAGGUGUUAAAAUGUUUAGAAAAGCUACGAAGUUUUUUGUUUUGUUUUGUUUUGUUCUGUAUGUAAGUGGUCAGGUACUGCUAUUACCAUUGAGCGAUUAACAGUCUAGCUCUUAAAGAUAAACAUAUCACUACGUCAUCAGUAUUAGAUUAAUCCAUCAUAAGACUUUUCAUUAUUUAAAGAAAGAGGUAGUAGUCUGUUUGUAAAAGAGAGGUCAUUUUUGCUUAAGAUCCAGCAGCGGCACCUUCCUUUGUUAAAUUUAAUCUAAUGAAGAUUCGAUUAAGGCUUGGAUUUGGAUAAUAUUACUUAACGGAUCCCUGCUUUAUUAUCAAACCCACAAAUGCAGGAUAUCACACGUUUGACAGAAGUAAUCCAUGUGAAAAGGUGUGCUGGGAGGAAGCAGAUGUAGGAGUGUCAUCAACCUCACACUUGCCAUUGCUUACCUUUGAUCUACUGUAGGCUAACAGCACUUUUCCACACCUCUGCAAAGUAAAAGGCAGCGAUACAGUUCAACGAUGGCAUUUCUAGUUCUGCAGGUUGACAACAUUCAAGCUCAAGAGGAGAUUGUUCUACAUUUGCUUAAUAGAGCUAAAUAUACCUUACACACCUCUCUGUAGCCGUUACUUUACUUAACAACACCAGCGAAACCGUUGAUGAUGACAACAAAUACACAAAGCAGGACUCCGGAGACAUCCAGGACAGGUAAAUAUCAAGAGUCUUUAAAGAGGACGAAAGGCAGUUGAACCCUAGUACUAAUACCAGCUUCGUCCUCCUGUCAUUCCCUCACUUGUCAUGAAUCAACACACCUUGCUGUGGCUGGUCAAAUGGAACCAAGUCAGGUGUUUCUGUGAGGUUUGGUCCCCUUCAACCAGCUACUGCGCUGUGAAUUCAGCCAGCAAUUCAGACUAUUAGCAAUUAAUAACUGGCUAUUUAAAACAAACAAAAAAAAAUUAAGUGCCAUUUUUAAAUUAGUCAUAAUGAAUAAAGAACACUCUUGAAAAUGCUAUCUAUUUUUUACUAAUGAAAUAAUAUGCACUGUUUUUUAUGUGUAUGUUUAUGUUUCGUACAGUUAUAACUGAAUAAAAUGUUGAAUGAUUAA